AGUCGAGAUGAAAAAGAUUACACGAGGAGAAAGUUAGGCUCAAUCGUGUGCUAGCACGAUUUCCUUGAACCUAAUUGGAUCUAAUCCAAAUCAAUCGAACUGGACUAGCUCAAUUGAUGACAUCCAGAUCUUAACUCUUGUUUGUGUGACCCAAUUAGGUUCAUUUCUGUAUGGUAAUGAGAUAUAUCAUGAUCUCAUCAUCGACAUCAUCGAAACUCCUUUCGAUGGACCAG
rnacentral:lncRNA from 1 species